rnacentral:rRNA from 1 species
UACGUAGGUGGCAAGCGUUGUCCGGAAUUACUGGGUGUAAAGCGCGUGUAGGCGGCAGGCCAAGUCUGCGGUGAAAGCGCCCGGCUCAACUGGGCGAGGUCCGUGGAAACUGGUCAGCUGGAGGACGGUAGAGGCGAGUGGAAUUCCCGGUGUAGUGGUGGAAUGCGUAGAGAUCCGGAAGAACACCGGAGGCGAAGGCGGCUCUCUGGACCGAGACUGACGCUGAGGCGCGAAAGCGUGGGGAGCAAACGGG